UACAGAGGGGGCAAGCGUUGGUCGGAAUUACUGGGCGUAAAGGGCGCGUAGGCGGGAUGGCAAGUCGGUCGUGAAAUCCCUCGGCUCAACCGAGGAACGUCGAUCGAUACUGCUGUUCUUGAGGAUUGCAGAGGAGACUGGAAUUCCCGGUGUAGCGGUGAAAUGUGUAGAGAUCGGGAGGAACACCGGUGGCGAAGGCGGGUCUCUGGGCAAUUCCUGACGCUGAGGCGCGAAAGCGUGGGGAGCAAACGGG
rnacentral:rRNA from 1 species